rnacentral:rRNA from 1 species
CAAUAGCGUAUAUUAAAGUUGUUGCGGUUAAAAGCUCGUAGUUGGAUUUCUGCCUGAGGCAGCCGGUCCGCACUUAGUGCGUGUAUCUGGUUUGGUUUGGGCAUCCUCUUGGGGAUCGUUGCUGUGCUUAGUUGCAUGGUGCGGAAUUCAAGACGUUUACUUUGAGGAAAUUAGAGUGGUUACGGCAAGCUAUCGCUUUGAAUACAUUAGCAUGGAAUAAUAAUAUAGGGCGUAAGUUCUAUCUUGUUGGUUUCUAGAACAUACGCAAUAGAUUAAUUAAGGGACGAAAUUAGGGGGUCGGAUUCGUUAUUUAAACGUACGUCCAGAGGUGGGAAGUUACUUUAGAUUGCGUUACGUACGAACUAACUGCGAAAGACAUUUGUCCAACGGAAUGUUUUCUAUUGAUCAAGAAACGAAAGUAAUGGGGAGUCGAAGAUGAUUAGAUACCGU